CCCCUCUCUAACUGCUAGCCUACCUGCCACCCUUUAUGGGUGAUUGCACAGUAGGCACAAGCUGCAAUCCAAACUUAGAGCCUCAGCUCCUCGUAAUCCGGCUACGGCUCUUCCAGCUCGCACGUCAGCUCCUCCAGCUCCGGCCUCAGCUCUGCUGUCAGUUCCUCCAGCUCCGUCCCCAGCUCCUCCACCUCCACCACACGCAAGGUGGUGAUCGUCACAGAGGAAUUAGUGGAUGGCAAGGUUGUCUCCACAAGUGAAACCAAACAUACCUCUUAAGGUCCCACACACACAGCGAGCACUGCAGCAAGCAACGGUUUAACCCCAUAGAAAUAUAAUCACCAGAAUGGGUAUAGGAAAUGAAAGGCCAGCACAUGGAAUAUUAGUGCUUUGUUCAUGCAACCUAAAAUACAACGUUACAACUUAUACAAAGUCUUCGUCAGAUGAAAAAUCCCUAUUUUCGUUAUCUGUCUGAUUUGUUAAGGGCAGUUCUGGUUAACUCUAGUUUAAGAUAUGAAUUCCAUCCUACUAUUCUUUCUAGAAUGGCUAAAGCCCCUCAGAUACCCAUCAUGGAACAUUGACUUGAAUGGGGAUUUAUUUUCUGGUAAUUCUAUUUCUAUGGUUAACACCUCCAGAACAACAUAUUCUACUACAUCUGAAUGGGACACCAACAACAGACCCCAUUGUGAAUACAAUAAAGAUGCUCUGACUUGCUGACACCAUCA